GAUGAACGCCGGCGGCGUGCCUAAUACAUGCAAGUCGAGCGAACGGACGAGAAGCUUGCUUCUCUGAUGUUAGCGGCGGACGGGUGAGUAACACGUGGAUAACCUACCUAUAAGACUGGGAUAACUUCGGGAAACCGGAGCUAAUACCGGAUAAUAUUUUGAACCGCAUGGUUCAAAAGUGAAAGGCGGUCUUGCUGUCACUUAUAGAUGGAUCCGCGCUGCAUUAGCUAGUUGGUAAGGUAACGGCUUACCAAGGCAACGAUGCAUAGCCGACCUGAGAGGGUGAUCGGCCACACUGGAACUGAGACACGGUCCAGACUCCUACGGGAGGCAGCAGUAGGGAAUCUUCCGCAAUGGGCGAAAGCCUGACGGAGCAACGCCGCGUGAGUGAUGAAGGUCUUCGGAUCGUAAAACUCUGUUAUUAGGGAAGAACAUAUGUGUAAGUAACUGUGCACAUCUUGACGGUACCUAAUCAGAAAGCCACGGCUAACUACGUG
rnacentral:rRNA from 1 species